rfam:Curvibacter sp. PAE-TM genomic scaffold Scaffold1, whole genome shotgun sequence.
GGGGCUGCAUUGGUUUCGACGUGGGUUCGGACGCGAUGUGGUGCAUGUCGAGCUGAAUGUGCUCGUAAAACUGAUUCAAAAAACCUAACUGCAAACGACGAACGUUUCGCACUCGCUGCUUAAUUGCCAGUGAGCUUUACAACAGCAGGCCGAUGGGCUGGGCAAGGGGGCGCAAGCCUCCCGGCUGUAAAGAUAAUUUCAUCGGCUGGUCCGGGGCUGGGUACCUUAGCAACGGACGAGAAAAUAGGGUGCUGGCGGCUGGCAUAGCGUGCGACUGCGCGAUGCCAGUAGCGAGAUCCAAAUCAGACCGCUAAACAUGUAGAUCUGCUCGAACAAGGCUUGCGGACGGGGGUUCAAAUCCCCCCAGCUCCACCA